AAUUUCACUUAAACCUAUUUAUAUUGGCGGCAAUUAAUCUAAUUAAAGGAACUUGUUUAUUAAUCGAUAAUCCACGAUAAUUUUCACUAUAAUUAUAUAUAUAUAUAUAUAUAUUUGUAUUUAUAUACCGCCAUCUUAAGAGUUAAUUUUCAUAAAUUACUCUAAAUAAUAUUUUAUAAAAAGUUAGGUCAAGGUGUAAUUAAUAUUAUAGAUAAAAUGAGUUACAAUAAAUAAUAUUUAUAGAUUAUUAAAUUAAAANUUUAUAUAAAAAAGAAUUUAAAAGUAAUAUUAAAAUAUUAAUU
rnacentral:rRNA from 1 species